rnacentral:rRNA from 1 species
GACGAACGCUGGCGGCGUGCUUAACACAUGCAAGUCGAACGGAAAGGCCCUGCUUUUGUUGGUGGCUCUGGUGGCGAACGGGUGAGUAACGCGAGAGUAACCUACCCUGGACUUUGGUAUAACUUCAGGGAACUGGGGCUAAGACCAUAUGGGAGCUCCUGCUUCUGUGUGGUGGUGGGAAUGGUUCGGCGGUUGGGUAUGUAGGCGCGGCUUAUCAGCUUGUUGGUGGGGUAGUGGCUUACCCAGGCUUUGACGGGUAGACGGCCUGAGAGGGUCACCGGCACGAUUGGGACUGCGAUACGGCCCAGCAUUCUACGGGAGGGCGCAGUGGGGAAAAGUCUAAAACGGGGGGAAGCCUGAUGCAGUAACGCCGCGUGCGGGAUGACGGCCUUCGGGUUGUAAAGCGGUUUUGCCUGUGACGAAGCGUGAUUGACGGUAAUGGGUAAAGAAGCACCGGCUAACUACGUG